rnacentral:rRNA from 1 species
UGCAUUAUUGCUUUUCACGAGGAAUGCCUAGUAAGCGCGUGUCAUCAGCAUGCGUUGAUUACGUCCCUGACCUUUGUACACACCGCCCGUCGCUACUACCGAUUGAAUGGCUCAGUGAGGCCUUCGGACUGGCUCGAGGAGGUUGGCAACGACCACCUCAAGCCGGAAAGUUCGUCAAACUCGGUCAUUUAGAGGAAGUAAAAGUCGUAACAAGGUCUCCGUAGGUGAACCUGCGGAGGGAUCAUUACACAAAUAUGAAGGCGGGCUGGAACCUCUCGGGGUUACAGCCUUGCUGAAUUAUUCACCCUUGUCUUUUGCGUACUUCUUGUUUCCUUGGUGGGUUCGCCCACCACUAGGACAAACAUAAACCUUUUGUAAUUGCAAUCAGCGUCAGUAACAAAUUAAUAAUUACAACUUUCAACAACGGAUCUCUUGGUUCUGGCAUCGAUGAAGAACGCAGCGAAAUGCGAUAAGUAGUGUGAAUUGCASAAUUCAGUGAAUCAUCGAAUCUUUGAACGCACAUUGCGCCCUUUGGUAUUCCAAAGGGCAUGCCUGUUCGAGCGUCAUUUGUACCCUCAAGCUUUGCUUGGUGUUGGGCGUCUUGUCUCUAGCUUUGCUGGAGACUCGCCUUAAAGUAAUUGGCAGCCGGCCUACUGGUUUCGGAGCGCAGCACAAGUCGCACUCUCUAUCAGCAAAGGUCUAGCAUCCAUUAAGCCUUUUUUUCAACUUUGACCUCGGAUCA